rnacentral:lncRNA from 1 species
UUGAAGUCCUUAUAAAAUCAUUUCUCUUGAGGGUGGGGUGGUCGGGGAGGGGGCGACAGAAGGUGGACACAGAUAAAAGAGUGAAGGAAUUCCAAGCUGAAAGGUGACAAGCAUGCUGAGCCACAUCUAGCACUACCUCUCCUCAGUGAAGUGACUGGGGAAGCCAAAUGGAUGAUCCACCACCUGGACAACUUCUUGAGCAACUGGUCUCAGAGAAUGCCAUUUUACCCAUCGUGUUCCGACACUAGGGGAGCCACGGGAAGAGUUUGUGGCCAAGGAAAAGGCCCAUAGACCGAGAUUCAGGGGAUACAUAUGCCGGUUUGCUACAUGGAUAUUGUGUGAUGCUGAGGUUUGGAGUACAAUUGAGCUCAUCACCCAGGAAGUGACUAUAGUACCCAGAAGUUUUUCAACCCUUGUCUGCCUCCUUCUCCCACCUCUAAUAUUCCCCAGAAUCUAUUGUUGCCUUUUUUAUGUCCAUGAGUACCCAAUGUUUUGCUCCGUCUUGUAAAUAAGAACAUGUGGUAUUUGGUUUUCUGUUCCUGAGUUAAUUUGUCUAGGAUAAUGGCCUCAAGCUGCAUCAAUGUUGUUGCAAAAGACAUGAUUUCAUUCUUUUUUAUUGCUGUGUAGUAUUCCAUGAUGUAGAUGCAGCACAUUUUCUUUACCCAGUCCACCACUGAUGGGCAUGUAGGUUGAUUCUAUGUCUUUGCUAUUGUGAAUAGUGCUGUGACGAAAAUGUGAGUGCAUCUGUCUUUUUGGUGGAACAAUUUCUUUUCUUUUGGAUAUACACUCAGUAAUGGGAUUGCUGGGUUGAAUAGUAUAAAUUGGUGCAAAAGUAAUUGCAUGUUUUGCCAUUGAAAAUCAUGGCAAAACCCUCAAUUACUUUUGCACCAACCUGAUAGUUCCAAGUUCUUUGAGAAAUCUCUGAACUGCUUUCCUCAGUGACUGAACUAGUGUGUAUUCCCACCAGCAGUGUAUAAGUACUACCUUCUCUACACAGCCUUACCAGUAUCUAUUAUUUUUUGACUUUUUAGUAAUAGCCAUUCUGACCAGUGUGAGAUGAUAUCUCAUUGUGGUUUUAAUUUGCAUUUCUCUGAUGAUUAGUGAUGUUGAUUUCUUUUAAUGCUUUUUGGCCACUUGUAUGUCUUCUCUUGAGAAAUGUUUGUUCAUGUGAUGAACUCUGAUGGAAUGCACUAUUUAUAAAUUUCUCUAUGUGUUUAAUUAAAUAUUUUGUUUUUUUGCAUUUGGGGGCUAUGUUUUUGAACACACACAAGUUCAGCUUUGUUAUAUUUUCCUAUGAAUUUUUUGUUAGCAGUAUAUAAGUAAUCCUUUUGCUUAUAUUUUAUACAUGGCAUGCAUAUUUUAUACAUGAUUGUGUUAGGCCAUUCUAGCAUUGCUAUAAAAGAAUACUCAAGAUGGGGUAAUUUGUAAAGAAAAGAGGUUUAAUUGGCUCUCAGUUCUGCAGGCUGUACAAGAAGUGUGGCACCAGCAUCUGCUUCUGGUAAGGGCCUCAGGGAGAUUUUACUCAUGACAGAAGGCAAAGGAGGAGCAGACACAUUCACAUGGCAAGGGCAGGAGUGAGAGAGGGAGCAAGGGCAACAACUGACUCUUGAGUGAACUCAUUACUGUACGGAUGGAACCAAGCCGUUCAUGAAGGAUCCACUCUCUUGACCCAAACACCUCCCACCAGGCCCCAUCUCCAACACUGGGGAUUACAUUUCAACAUGAGAUUUGGAUUAUUCAUGAUGUAUCCCUUCUUUCUUUACUUUAAGUUUAUUACUUAUCUUACAUGAUUUUCUCAAAUCUUUAUUGUUUAUUAUUUCUGUGGGUUGAUCAAAUUUGUAUUCAAUUUAUGUUUUUAAUGACCUUGUUUUAGAAUUUCUGAUGAUGUAAUUUUACAUUUCAUCAAUGGCUGACUUUUCUUUCUUUGCUCACAUGAUCAAUCAAAAAUAACCCAAACAUGUCCCCCUAAAUUUCAGUUUACCAUUUAAUAUGCUCUAAUUUUUCCUUAUUUUUCUGCCAUCCCAAUAUCAUAAGAAUGUUAGAAAACUUUCACCAUCCUUUUCCUAUAACUUUUCUUCCUACCCCCAUGAGAACUUUAGAAUGUUUUACUUCAUCUUCUCUUUGUCCACUCCACCCUAACUUACAUCAAGAAUUUAGGGAGUUGUGCCAUAUUUUUAUCCUCUGUAACAGUUUUUUCAGAUAGGUAUUAUAUGUUACCCGAAGAUUACAUAUAAUUUGCCAAGAAAAACAUUGUUGUCUGGUGUUUUUCAGGACUAUUUCUUUCUCUUUUCUUUGUUAAUGAUAAGUGGAUUUAAAAAUACAAAUUUAGUUUUUUAAAGUUAAAUUAAUAUUUUUCCAAUAAAUUAUUUAAGUGUUAUCUCAGUAUUAAAAUUUACCAAAGAUAAAAUUAUUCAUGUAUUCUUCUGUGGUUAAAAAAAUCUCUAUUAUAAAUAUAAUGCCCACUUUUCACCAAUCACUUUUAUCAGAGGUUUGUUCAUCUUCGUAGACAACGUUUGGGGUUUGCAUUUGUUGGCUGGUCCUAUAUAUUUUGUUUUGUUUACUUUCUUUUUCUCUUGUCAAUAUUUUCUUUCUCCUACAUUUAGGUUUGUUUUGUUUCUUAACUAUGAGUUGUUGAUUACUCAUUGUUUUCAUCCUUUCUUUUCAUGUUAGUAUUUAACAUUAUACCUUUUACUAUGGACAGUUUUGUAGCUGCAGGUUACAUUUUUUUAAUAUAGUAUGGUCAUCAUUGUUAUGUUCUAGUUUCUAAUGUACGUUUUAAUUUUUUCUUAGAGUCAAAAUAAUCUGGAAGAGGGUUUUGAUACUGAUAUAUAUUAAAUUAAUAUAUAUAAAUGAUUAUAUUAUUUGAUAAAACUUACUGUGAAUUAUUAAGUGUUCAAUAUUUAUAUAUAUUCCAUGUGUGUUUGUAAAGACUGUGUACCCUCAAUUACUGGGUGCAGAGUUGUGCAUCUGUUCAUUAGAUAAAGCUUAUAAAUCAUAUUUUUCAAAUAAUAUAGGUUCAUAUCAAUUAAUUACUGGAAGAGGUAGGCUAAAAUGUCCAACUCUGAUGGAAUUUCUCUAUGUGUUUAAAUAUUUUGUUUUUGCAUUUGGGGGCUAUGUUUUUAAGCUCAUACAAGUUCAUCUUUGUCGUAUUUUCCUAUAAAUUUUUCCUGUUAGCAAUAUAUAAGUAAUCCUUUUGCUUAUCAUUAUGCUGCUGGAAUGUAUAUUUUAUUAAUAAGGCUUUAUUUAUUUAUUUAUUUAUUUUUGAGACAGAGCCUCACUCUGUCACCCAGGCUAGAGUGCAGUGGCACGAUCUCAGCUCACUGCAAGCUCCACCUCCCGGGUUCACGCCAUUCUCCCACCUCAGCCUCCCAAGUAGCUGGGACUACAGGUGCCUGCCACCACGCCUGGCUAAUUUUUUUUGUAUUUUUAGUAGAGACGGGGUUUCACCAUAUUAGCCAGGAUGGUCUCGAUCUCCUGACCCCAUGAUCUGCCUGCCUUGGCCUCCCAAAGUGUUGGGAUUACAGGUGUGAGCCACUGCACCCGGCCAAUAAGGCUUCAAUAGCUUUGCUUGGUAGUCUUUUUUUUAGUCUAUCAUUCUCUAUCUCUUUAUUAUAUUCAAUGUAUUUUGAUGUGUCUCUUAUAAACAUUGCAAGGAUUUGUUAAAAAUCUUAUCAAACAGGAAUGACUUUCACUUUUACCCAUACAAAACAUAAAGCUAAAAGAUUGGACAAAAUAUGUGAAGCAAUGAUUUCCAGACAGUGGACUUUGGACAUUGACAGUGCAAGCCUUUAAUCCCUAACAGAAGAGAAUCUCACGAGAUGACUCUCACUUCAUGCUAGCUCUGUGCCUGGAGAAAAUUUUCUGAGCACAAAGAGGUAGAAUGCAACCAGAAAGAAAACUGUGGCCCUACUGAACUGAGGAAGAAGAGGUCAGAGUUCUGGAAUCAGAAAGAGCAAGUAGGAAGGGUGCUGCACCUAAGGACUCUAGAUCCUUGGUUUGGGACUGGGCCUCACACAUGUAAUGUGAGGCUCUUGAGACUGAGGAGGACUGCUGUUCGGUCAGGAUCAGAAGGAAUAUGCUAGAGUUCAAGCCACCAUGCAAGAUCCGUGAGCAACUCCUUAGGUGAAUUGUGAAAGACAGCCAGGUAUACUCUUUGCUAUUGCAAAUGGUCACACUUUCACUUCUAUCCAAGACUUACUGUUGAUUUUACCUUUCCCCUCUGUUUUCAUUAUGCUUGUGGGUUUUUUCCUGAACCUUUUUCACUCUGUCAAAAUGUGUGCCAGGGCUCUCUGGGACCAUUAUCCAAAUAAAACAUAAAAAUAUUUCUUUGCCAAUUUUUCUUAAAAGGAAUUGACCUGUAGUGUCAUUAAAAAUAUAAAAUUGAUUUGAGGGUAGAUAUAAGACCCAAAUAUCAUUAACCAGGUAUUUAAAUAGGAAUUAUUUAACUAGAUAAACUCCUUGUCAAUGCAUAUUGUCAAGUUUUAAAAAAUGUUACUCAGAGACUGAUGCAAUCAACUCGCUAGUUCUGGAAUAGGGUAAAGACUAGAGGCAAAGAACAGUUCAUGAGAAUUAAUAGUGUAGGUAGCCAUCUACAAAAUGUUACUGACUGGCCUGCCAUAGGCUCUGUCAUAAUGUGGCCGACUGCCACGGUUACUACUUGAGACGGUCAUUAUAGCAGUUACUGUUGUUACUGCCUGAGACCGUCAUUACAAACUGAACGAAGGGACGAACUUAGAAAUUAUAACAAAAAACAAAAGAAACUGUUUUAAAGGAAGGGAAGCCGGGGAAGAAGAAGAGAGCUCCCCACUUCCAGUGAGCAAAGGCACCCCUGAGCUUCCACAGCCCCUCCUAUUUAUUGGGUAACAAAAGCGAGGAGAAGGAGGUAACAACUGGUCAGCUGCUUAAUUGAUCACACGUUCAUAUUGUUACUAACAGGCUUCAGAUGUACCUAAUCACAAGAAACACUGCGCUUGGGGCAUGACUGCCCUCAGCAUUCCUUCUGGAU